UGGGCGAAAGCCUGACGGAGCAACGCCGCGUGAGUGAUGAAGGUUUUCGGAUCGUAAAGCUCUGUUGCCAAGGAAGAACGUCUUCUAGAGUAACUGCUAGGAGAGUGACGGUACUUGAGAAGAAAGCCCCGGCUAACUACGUGCCAGCAGCCGCGGUAAUACGUAGGGGGCAAGCGUUGUCCGGAAUUAUUGGGCGUAAAGCGCGCGCAGGCGGUUCUUUAAGUCUGGUGUUUAAACCCGAGGCUCAACUUCGGGUCGCACUGGAAACUGGGGGACUUGAGUGCAGAAGAGGAGAGUGGAAUUCCACGUGUAGCGGUGAAAUGCGUAGAUAUGUGGAGGAACACCAGUGGCGAAGGCGACUCUCUGGGCUGUAACUGACGCUGAGGCGCGAAAGCGUGGGGAGCAAACAGGAUUAGAUACCCUGGUAGUCCACGCCGUAAACGAUGCUAACUCGUUUUUGGAAUGUAAGUUUCAGAGACUAAGCGAAAGUGAUAAGUUAGCCACC
rnacentral:rRNA from 1 species